rnacentral:pre_miRNA from 1 species
UAAGUACUCCCUCCGUCCGGAAAUACUUGUCAUCAAAAUGGAUGAAAAUGGAUGUAUCUAAAACUAAAAUACAUCUAGAUACAUCCAUUUCAAUGACAAAUAUUUCUGGACGGAGGGAGUACAUG